AUUAAACGCUGGCGGCAUGCCUUACACAUGCAAGUCGAACGGUAGCGCGGGGCAACCUGGCGACGAGUGGCGAACGGGUGAGUAACGCGUAGGAAUAUACCUUAUAGAGGGGGAUAACCUGGGGAAACUCAGGCUAAUACCGCAUGUUAUCUAAGGAUUAAAGCUGGGGACCUUAGGGCCUGGCGCUAUAAGAAUAGCCUGCGUCCGAUUAGCUAGUUGGUGGGGUAAAGGCCUACCAAGGCGACGAUCGGUAGCUGGUCUGAGAGGAUGAUCAGCCACACUGGGACUGAGACACGGCCCAGACUCCUACGGGAGGCAGCAGUGGGGAAUAUUGGACAAUGGGGGCAACCCUGAUCCAGCAAUGCCGCGUGUGUGAAGAAGGCCUGAGGGUUGUAAAGCACUUUCAGUGGGGAGGAGGAGUACGUUGGUUAAGAAGCUGAUGUAUUGGACGUUACCCACACGAAGAAGCACCGGCUAACUCCGUGCCAGCAGCCGCGGU
rnacentral:rRNA from 1 species